rnacentral:rRNA from 1 species
AUUGAACGCUGGCGGCAGGCUUAACACAUGCAAGUCGAACGAGUGGCGGACGGGUGAGUAAUGCUUGGGAAUCUGGCUUAUGGAGGGGGAUAACGACGGGAAACGGUCGCUAAUACCGCGUACCAUAGGAUGAGCCCACGUGGGAUUCGGUAGUUGGUGGGGUAAUGGCCUAAAAAGCCGACGAUGUCUUGCUGGUCUGAGAGGAGGACCAGCCACACCGGGACUUAGACACGGCCCGGACUCCUUCGGGAGGCAGCAGUGGGGAAUAUUGCGCAUUGGGGGCAACCUGACGAAGCCAUGCCGCGGGAAUGAAGAAGGCCUUCGGGUUGUAAAGUUCUUGCAGUUAUGAGGCGUUAAUCACAGAAGAAGCACCGGCUAACUCCGUGCCAGCAGCCGCGGUAAUUC